rnacentral:rRNA from 1 species
AAACUUGUCCACUCCUUACGGGGGAGACAGUCAUGAGACGUGAGUAUAAGACCUGAGUGUAAAGACCUUAGGGUGAAGCAAUUGGAGGGCAAGCUUUGGUGCCAGCAGCCGCGGUAACUCCAACUCCAAGAGUGUCUAUGGUGGAUGCUGCAGUUAAAGGGUCCGUAGUCGUGAAUGCAAUUAAAUGUCGUUGUUCAAUAGCGAUGAGUUUGCUAAUGUUUGCGGAACGGAUAGGGAGUGUAGUAUAGACUGGCGAAGAAUGAAAUCUCAAGACCCAGUUUGGACUAACGGAGGCGAAGGCGACACUCUUAGACGUAUCUUAGGAUCAAGGACGAAGGCAGGAGUAUCGAAAGUGAUUAGACACCGCUGUAGUUCCUGCAGUAAACUAUGCCGACAGCCUGUGUGUGAGAAUACGUGGGCGGGAGAAAUCUUAGUGUUCGGGCUCUGGGGAUAGUACGCUCGCAAGGGUGAAACUUAAAGCGAAAUUGACGGAAGGACACUACCAGGAGUGGAUUGUGCUGCUUAAUUUAACUCAACGCGGGAAAACUUACCAGGGUCAAGUCAUUCGUUGAUCGAAUACGUGAGAAUGGCAGG